UACGGGGGGUGCGAGCGUUAUCCGGAUUCACUGGGUUUAAAGGGUGCGUAGGUGGGCAGGUAAGUCAGUGGUGAAAUCUCCGGGCUUAACCCGGAAACUGCCAUUGAUACUAUCAGUCUUGAAUACCGUGGAGGUAAGCGGAAUAUGUCAUGUAGCGGUGAAAUGCUUAGAUAUGACAUAGAACACCAAUUGCGAAGGCAGCUUACUACCCGAAUAUUGACACUGAGGCACGAAAGCGUGGGGAUCAAACAGG
rnacentral:rRNA from 1 species